UAAUGAAAAACUCUUGACUCUUCUCAGAGGGUCUGACACAGCUGGCCUGUAAUUGGCCAAUAAGUAAAAACAAAUCACAUGCAACCAAUGAAACAAUCUCCCACCACAUUCCAAAGCAGCAAAACACAGGAGAAGCAAAUCAGAUAAUUAUUGUUUUCAUUUUUCUCUGAGGCUUCUCAGCUUCCCAGGACAGAAAUCCUGGUGAAGGGAUUUUUCCAGAAAAUACGACAGUGACAGGAGGGGACCUCAGAGCUUGUUUUGUUCCAACCCCCUGCUGGUUUUCACUAUCCCAGGUUGCUCCAAACCUGAUCCAAGCUGGCCUUGGCCACUUGCAGGGGUGGGGCAGCCACAGCCUCUCUCAGUCAGUUCAGUUCCUUGGUGUCUCAUCCUGGGCAGCACCUGCAGACCACGGGCUGGAUCAUGGAUUGAGGAGUUUCCCAUCACAUCCCUGCUUGCAGCUUUGGAUACUCCAGGUCUGGAGUGACUUCAGAGAGGUGCUGGGAUCCCUAAGAGCAGAAUCACAGAACCUUCCUGGCCUGACACCCUGAGCAAGGGCUUGGAGAGCUUUUCCGGGCUGCUUAUCUUGGAUGUUUGAUUAAUUCACUUUUUUCUACAGCUCAAUGCAAAACUCUGUCCUCUCAUCAUGACCUCCUUUUAUGAAUAAGGCUCCAGCACACAGAUGGAGGUGAAGCUCUGGAGAUGCUGGGGACCAGCUGAGCAGGCUGGAGCUCCCUUGAGCUGCUGAUCAAACAUCUGGGAAGGACCAGCUCAGUGAGCACUCUGCUGAGUGACUCUCAGAAAGAGCCCAGGCCCGGGUGGGGAGCAGUGCCUUAUCUCUCCCCCAAACAUCAGAGACCUGAUUUGCUCCUGAGGCCGGGACCUGACAGCCUUGUACAUUAGCACUUUUUAAAAGUGAUGUCCACUUUUGAAAUAGUACCUGUCCCGAGAGUGGUCACUUCAUUUGACAAAUGCCAGCGAUGACAGCUGGACAUUACAAACUCCAGAGCUCGGGGGGAGAGCUGUGCUCCCCUUGGCUGUGUGGGGUUGUUUGGAUGUGGUGCCCACCCUGAGCCCACAGCCAUGGCCCAGGGUCUGUUUGGACCUUGGAACUGGGCUGUCCCCAUGGGAUGGGUGCCUGGAUCCCAGCAGCAGCACAGUGGGACAAAUGGGGCAGCUGAAGGAAGUAAGAGAUGGUAAAUGGGGAUUUUUCCAAAAGAACAAUGGGGUUUUGCCACCCUCUGUGUGCCCAGAGCAAGGAGUGAAGCCAAGCAGAAAACCCACUCAUGUCUUCCUUACACAGGAAGGUUUGAGCUGAAAGUUUCUGGAUGAGGCUCCAGCUCCAAAGCUGCCCCUGGAUGUGUUUUGCCCUGGAGAGACCUGGCUCUGGGGGCCCAAGGACUUGCCUGGCUCCAUGAAACUGCUGUGGGCACUGUGCUGGGGCAGCCUGGGUGAGAGGAGACAGCUGAGAGACCCCAGAGCUGGGAAUUCCCUCCCUGCCCUGCCGGGCCUGCCAAGAGCCCUGGUGCUGCAGCUGGCCUGUCCAAGUCACCACUAAAAGCUGCACUGAAAGCACGCUGAAGUGACAAAUGAAGAAAGCUGGGAAACACCACAAUUUGGGUUGCUUGAUGAAUUUUCUGCCUUUUAUUUAAAUAGGAGGUUAAAUACACCCCCUCCCUCGGAUCGUGGUGGCCUGCAGAGGGUUUCUCUGACAGAUGCCUGGGGGUGCUGCAGCGAUGGUUGUGCUGUGUUUGGUGUGAAAGGGCUGCUCACAGCCCCUGGCUCAGGGGUGCUGGGAGCAGCUGGGAUUUUCUGGCCACUUGCCUGCACUGUGGGAUGCCCACCCACUGCUGGAAAAGUGAACUCUCAGCCCUGGAAUUCCGAGGGAAUAGGCUGUGGAUAGGAGCAGAGGGAGCACCUGGAACUCAGCAGUGCUUCACUCUUUUCUGUGGCUACUGAGCCUCCCCCCAAAGUUUUCCAUACUAUUCCAAAUUUCCCAGCAGGAUUUCCUAGAGAACAAGAUGUGGCUGAGCGUGUGACUGCUGUGCUCUGGGGAACACCAGCUUUGCCCAAAGUCCAGCAUGUCUUGCACUCCUCGGUGUGUUUGGCUCUUCACAGCUCAGGGGCAGUGCCCAGCUGGGCUUUGGCCACCUCAAGGCAGCCAGGGACCCCUCCAAAAAC